GAUGAACGCUGGCGGCGUGCCUAAUACAUGCGAGUCGAGCGAACGGACGAGAAGCUUGCUUCUCUGAUGUUAGCGGCGGACGGGUGAGUAACACGUGGAUAACCUACCUAUAAGACUGGGAUAACUUCGGGAAACCGGAGCUAAUACCGGAUAAUAUUUUGAACCGCAUGGUUCAAAAGUGAGAGACGGUCUUGCUGUCACUUAUAGAUGGAUCCGCGCUGCAUUAGCUAGUUGGUAAGGUAACGGCUUACCAAGGCAACGAUGCAUAGCCGACCUGAGAGGGUGAUCGGCCACACUGGAACUGAGACACGGUCCAGACUCCUACGGGAGGCAGCAGUAGGGAAUCUUCCGCAAUGGGCGAAAGCCUGACGGAGCAACGCCGCGUGAGUGAUGAAGGUCUUCGGAUCGUAAAACUCUGUUAUUAGGGAAGAACAUAUGUGUAAGUAACUGUGCACAUCUUGACGGUACCUAAUCAGAAAGCCACGGCUAACUACGUG
rnacentral:rRNA from 1 species